CCGCUCGCUCCCAGCUCCCGGGGCCCGCGACUGGCUCCCAGAGCCUUGUUCCACAGCCCCCAGCUUCCUCCAUCCCAGCCAGAAGGGGAGAGGUACUUGGGCUUGGGGAUGUGGCUGUAUCACGGCCUGAUUUGCUGUGGGAAACCCUGGUGUGGACUCACUGCCCUCCCCCUCCCCCUUCACAGGAACGGGGGAGACCCCGGGCUUGCACCACUUGGAGGUGUCGCUGAACUGCAAGGUUUGUGAGAUGGAAGAGAGGCCUCUGAGGUGCAGGAUGUUGGAAUGUGGCUAACCCAAAGGCUCGUGUGAGGGGGAGCCCCGUUGUCGCUCACAGAAGCCAGUGUUCUCUUUCCCCGAGAGAUGAAGGGAGGACCCCGGAGAUGCUGAACUUGGAGAUGUUGCUACCCUAAGGGCUGAUUUGGGGAAUGGCGGGGAGACCCCAGGAGUGCAGAACUUGGAGAUUUUGCUCAUCUAAGGGCUGAUCUGUGAAGGUGAAGGUGGGAAGAUCCCCGGCGUGCACAACUUGGAGAUGCGGCCAUCAGUAACGAGUCAGCCAAAUCAUCCCUAGGUUCCACAACCCAGGGGUCUCUCUGGACUCCAUAUGAAGGAGGAAACUGCUUUUAUGCAAACAAAGCCAAAGCAGACAAGAUUAGAAGGGAAACAAUAAACUGGAAAAACGGUUUUACAUUCAA